GUUGGUGAGAAUUUUAUAUUUACCCCCUCGGUGAUUCGAUACGCACCACCAGCGCAGGUGUUAGUUGCGGAUGCAACUGCGCAGAUUGAUGAGUUAUUCAUUCAACCAAACGCCGCCCCAAAACCUGCAAUAGUUGCGGAUGCAACUGCGCAGAUUGAUGAGUUAUUCAUUCAACCAAAC